UACGUAGGGUGCAAGCGUUAAUCGGAAUUACUGGGCGUAAAGCGUGCGCAGGCGGUUUUGUAAGACAGAGGUGAAAUCCCCGGGCUCAACCUGGGAACUGCCUUUGUGACUGCAGGGCUUGAGUGCGGCAGAGGGGGAUGGAAUUCCGCGUGUAGCAGUGAAAUGCGUAGAUAUGCGGAGGAACACCGAUGGCGAAGGCAAUCCCCUGGGCCUGCACUGACGCUCAUGCACGAAAGCGUGGGGAGCAAACAGG
rnacentral:rRNA from 1 species